CAGAGGGGGCAAGCGCUGUUCGGAAUUACUGGGCGUAAAGGGCGCGUAGGCGGCCUGCUAAGUCGAACGUGAAAUCCCCGGGCUCAACCCGGGAACUGCGUCCGAGACUGACAGGCUUGAACCCGGGAGAGGGAUGUGGAAUCCCAGGUGUAGCGGUGAAAUGCGUAGAUAUCUGGAGGAACAUCGGUGGCGAAGGCGGCAUCCUGGACCGGUAUUGACGCUGAGGCGCGAAAGCCAGGGGAGCAAACGGGAUUAGAUACCCCGGUAGUCCUGGCCCUAAACGAUGAAUGCUUGGUGUGGUGGGUAUCGAUCCCCGCCGUGCCGAAGCUAACGCAUUAAGCAUUCCGCCUGGGGAGUACGGUCGCAAGGCUG
rnacentral:rRNA from 1 species